rnacentral:tRNA from 1 species
AUACCCCGAAAACGUUGGACAAAACCAACCUCUGCUA